CUUGGGUACUCGAGUGGCGAACGGGUGAGUAACACGUGGGUGAUCUGCCCUGCACUUCGGGAUAAGCCUGGGAAACUGGGUCUAAUACCGGAUAGGACCACAUUUUGGACGGUGUGGUGGAAAGUUUUUCGGUGUGGGAUGAGCUCGCGGCCUAUCAGCUUGUUGGUGGGGUAAUGGCCUACCAAGGCGUCGACGGGUAGCCGGCCUGAGAGGGUGUACGGCCACAUUGGGACUGAGAUACGGCCCAG
rnacentral:rRNA from 1 species